rnacentral:rRNA from 1 species
UACGUAGGGUGCGAGCGUUAAUCGGAAUUACUGGGCGUAAAGCGUGCGCAGGCGGUUGUGUAAGACAGGUGUGAAAUCCCCGGGCUUAACCUGGGAACUGCGCUUGUGACUGCACGGCUAGAGUACGGCAGAGGGUGGUGGAAUUCCACGUGUAGCAGUGAAAUGCGUAGAUAUGUGGAGGAACACCGGUGGCGAAGGCGGCCUUCUGGCCCGGAACUGACGCUCAGGCACGAAAGCUAGGGGAGCGAACGGGAUUAGAAACCCCGGUAGU